UACGUAGGUGGCAAGCGUUUGUCCGGAAUUAUUGGGCGUAAAGCGCGCGCAGGCGGUCCUUUAAGUCUGAUGUGAAAGCCCACGGCUCAACCGUGGAGGGUCAUUGGAAACUGGGGGACUUGAGUACAGAAGAGAAGAGUGGAAUUCCACGUGUAGCGGUGAAAUGCGUAGAGAUGUGGAGGAACACCAGUGGCGAAGGCGACUCUUUGGUCUGUAACUGACGCUGAGGCGCGAAAGCGUGGGGAGCAAACAGG
rnacentral:rRNA from 1 species